CUUAUUGGGUACCCAAAGAAAUGAGGGACGGACCCAGUACAUAGGAAACCCUACCGUGAACGUCACUUCAGUCGGACGGGGCUGAGAAGUCCCAUACUGAAAAUAUUUGGGAGAUAUGGUUCACCCUCAUACCGGACAGGGUAUCGAGACGAUGAAAUAUUUGACGCCUAUUACCGGAUGGGGUGUAGGGACGACUGAUUAAUUGUUAAAAUUAGAUAUUGGAUUUACGAGUAAGGGGACAUUCCUAUAGACCCCUAAGGGUACCAGUAAGCAAGGAAGAAAAAAAAAUUGUCGUCUCUUAUUCUUUUAGGCGUGAAACUGAAAAGUGGUAUGAAUAUGAGUUUUCAUAGGUUAUUUUU
rnacentral:lncRNA from 1 species